rnacentral:miRNA from 1 species
AUCUCUGUAUAAAUAUGUCCCAUGCAAUAUUUGAGACAUACUUAUAUCAAAC